AUGAUAGUCGUUUACAAUUAUCAAUGACUUCCAACACCAAGUCACCCAAAAAAAAAAAAAAAAAAAGCAAAAGGACCAAAAGCAGAAGAAAACAAUUAACAGACUUCUGGUUCGCAUUCCUCUUCGAAUAGAAAGUAAGAAACAAGGUUUGCAUCUGUACAUCAACAGUAUCAAAAUUUCGAGGGGAUGAAAAGGACAAAAAUAAACAAGUUUGGUUUGCUAGCUUCCUUUUGGCAUCACUGUUUUCUAAUGGGGUUUCGGAAUUUGGAUAACUAUGGUACGUAAAAAAUGAAAAAUUAUCCAUGAUAGAGACGAGAAAAAAAGGCUUAAAAAGUAGAGAUAAUGCGAGCGUGGUAAUCUGGUUGUAUACGUGGUAGGACCAGUGGAAAUGAAAGAGAAAGACGCGGCGAAGCGUAGGAACUCUGUCGUUUUCCUAAGAUUAGAGCUUUAAGUAAAGAAAUAAAAGUAAAAAAAAAAAAAAUAAUAAUAAUAAAAUAGGUGGUAAAUGGUGAUGCCGUGGAACCCACUUCCAAUGGAGGAGGACUAUGUCCUUGGAGAUGGCUGACGUGCACCGCACCAUUGUUUUGCUUUUUGGCAAAAUCUACAUUUAAUUUAAUAACUCCAUGUAAACUGGGUCCCACUCCCACCCGCCGUCCACUCCAUACUUCAUGUCCAUCCAUCCCACCCUCCCUCAAUAUGCCUGCGUCUCUACCACAAGACAAUGAGUCAAAUUUCAGCUGACCCCAUGUGACCAUCAGCCUCCUUUGCCCUCUUUCUUUUUCUUUUUCUUUUUUUUUAUCUUUUUUUUUUAAUCAUAAAAAUAAUUUUCUUGCUACUUUUUAAUGGUUUCGUAAUGCAAAUUGUAAAAUUCGAAAAAGAAUGAUUAUUCUAGAUCACUUAUCCUAUUAGGAUUACCACCCUUUCAAUAUAUAUAAAUUGGUAGAGCAUAUGGCUUCAAAAAUAUAUAUCAGACACAGCCAUGGAGCCCCUGCAUAUACGUUACACACAAUUUAUAUGAAUAAACCGGCUAUCAUUGCAGGAUGCAUGUAAGACUUAGAAUAAAUAAAAAAGGGGUCUGUAGGUAGGAGGACCGCCAUCAGAAGGCAUCAGACGGUGGGUCUCAAUCCAUAAAAAAUGUACGGCCCGGACGAACCCUUCUCAGUGGAAGUUGACAGAACCUUCCCCUUAAACCCAAUACCCAAUCGCCUCUCAGCCCUAUUCGUUAUUUAAUACUUUUUUUUAUUUUAGUUUUAUAUUUUUUAUCAUGUAAAGGAAUUGAAAUGGAAGGAGAGGAAUAAAAAGUCGAAGAUAAUGGAAAAUAUAUAUUUUAUGCAAAAUCUCACCGGAGGAUUAAAAUCCCGGCGGUCGAAACAAGAGAAGCCUCUCUCAUUAUGUAAUUUUAUCCGAUACCACAUAUAUAAUUAAUAUAAUUACUAUUA